AGAGUUUGAUCCUGGCUCAGAACGAACGCUGGCGGCAGGCCUCAAACAUGCAAGUCUAGGGGGUGUAGCAAUACAUCACCGGCGGACGGGUGCGUAACGCGUGGGAAUGUACCUAUUGGUUCGGAACAACUGAGGGAAACUUCAGCUAAUACCGGAUGAGCCCGAAAGGGGAAAGAUUUCUCGCCAAUGGAUCAGCCCGCGUCCGAUUAGCUAGUUGGUGGGGUAAUGGCCUACCAAGGCUACGAUCGGUAGCUGUUCUGAGAGGAAGAUCAGCCACACUGGGACUGAGACACGGCCCAGACUCCUACGGGAGGCAGCAGUUGGGAAUCUUGGACAAUGGGGGAAACCCUGAUCCAGCCAUGCCGCGUGAGUGAUGAAGGCCUUCGGGUUGUAAAACUCUUUCGACGGGGACGAUAAUGACGGUACCCGUAGAAGAAGCUCCGGCUAACUUCGUGCCAGCAGCCGCGGUAAUACGAAGGGGGCUAGCGUUGUUCGGAAUUACUGGGCGUAAAGCGCGCGCAGGCGGUCUUCCAAGUCAGUGGUGAAAGCCCGGAGCUCAACUCCGGAAUUGCCAUUGAAACUGUGAGACUGGAGUACGAGAGAGGUGAGUGGAAUUCCCAGUGUAGAGGUGAAAUUCGUAGAUAUUGGGAAGAACACCGGUGGCGAAGGCGGCUCACUGGCUCGUAACUGACGCUCAGGCGCGACAGCGUGGGGAUCAAACAGGAUUAGAUACCCUAGUAGUCC
rnacentral:rRNA from 1 species